rnacentral:misc_RNA from 1 species
AAGACUAUAGACCUGCGGAGUACCUGCGGAAGGAUCAUUAACGUUGGGGACUAACAAUCCCUCAGCGAGGUAGAACCCUUGCCUUUUCGAGUACCACACGUUUCCUCGGCAGGUACGCCUGCCAAUGGGGACCACAACAAAACCUUUUGUAAUAGCAGUAAACGUCUUAAAAACAAAACUUUUAAAACUUUCAACAAUGGAUCUCU